rnacentral:tRNA from 1 species
GCUGGUGUGGCCGAGUGGUUUAAGGCACUAGUCUUCCAAACUAGAGUCAGCAAUGACCGCAGGUUCGAAUCCUGUCACCCGCUCCA